rnacentral:rRNA from 1 species
AGAGUUUGAUCAUGGCUCAGAAUGAACGCUGGCGGCGUGCUUAACACAUGCAAGUCGUGCGCGAAGGUGGCUUCGGCCACCGGAGAGCGGCGAACGGGUGAGUAACACGUGGGUGAUCUGCCUGGGAGUGGGGGAUAACCUGGGGAAACUCGGGCUAAUACCGCAUACGUUGUUCAGGUUGCGACCUGGACAAGAAAGCUGGCCUCUAUUUAUAAGCUAGCACUCCCAGAGGAGCCCGCGGCUGAUUAGCUAGUUGGUGAGGUAAUGGCUCACCAAGGCGACGAUCAGUAGCCGGCCUGAGAGGGUGAUCGGCCACACUGGGACUGAGACACGGCCCAGACUCCUACGGGAGGCAGCAGUGGGGAAUAUUGGACAAUGGGCGCAAGCCUGAUCCAGCAACGCCGCGUGGAGGACGAAGGUCUUCGGAUCGUAAACUCCUGUCAGGCGGGACGAAGGUUGCGAGGCAAAUAGUCUCGUAACUUGACGGUACUGCCAGAGGAAGCCCCGGCUAACUCCGUGCCAGCAGCCGCGGUAAUACGGAGGGGGCGAGCGUUAUUCGGAAUUAUUGGGCGUAAAGGGCGCGUAGGCGGCCCGGUAAGUCAAAGGUGAAAUCCCUCGGCUCAACUGAGGAACUGCCUUUGAAACUGUCGGGCUUGAGGCCGGGAGGGGGUAGCGGAAUUCCCAGUGUAGCGGUGAAAUGCGUAGAUAUUGGGAGGAACACCGGUGGCGAAGGCGGCUACCUGGACCGGUUCUGACGCUGAUGCGCGAAAGCGUGGGUAGCAAACAGGAUUAGAUACCCUGGUAGUCCACGCUGUAAACGAUGAGUGCUCGGUGUCGCGGUAUCGACCCCUGCGGUGCCUUAGCUAACGCGUUAGCACUCGCUGGGGAGUACGUCGCAGGCUGAAACUCAAAGGAAUUGACGG